AGGUCUGUCGCCAAGCGGUAAGGCAACGGGUUUUGAUCCCGUCAUACCUAGGUUCGAAUCCUAGCA
rnacentral:tRNA from 3 species